GGGCCCGCACAAGCGGUGGAGUAUGUGGUUUAAUUCGAUGCAACGCGAAGAACCUUACCAGGGUUUGACAUCCUGCGAAUCUCUUGGAAACAGGAGAGUGCCUUCGGGAACGCAGUGACAGGUGGUGCAUGGCUGUCGUCAGCUCGUGUCGUGAGAUGUUGGGUUAAGUCCUAUAACGAGCGCAACCCCUAUCGUUAGUUGCCAUCAAGUAAAGUUGGGAACUCUAGCGAAACUGCCGGUGCAAACCGUGAGGAAGGUGGGGAUGACGUCAAAUCAUCACGGCCCUUACGUUCUGGGCUACACACGUGCUACAAUGGCCGGUACAGAAAGCAGCCACUAUGCGAAUAGGAGCUAAUCUUUAAAACCGGUCUCAGUUCGGAUCGCAGUCUGCAACUCGACUGCGUGAAGCUGGAAUCGCUAGUAAUCG
rnacentral:rRNA from 1 species